AAGAACUUAAGUUAAAUAAACUUUUAACCUUCAAAGUUAAAUAUAAUUGUAAUAAAUCUUUUAGUUCUUA
rnacentral:tRNA from 1 species